rfam:Schizophyllum commune H4-8 unplaced genomic scaffold SCHCOscaffold_1, whole genome shotgun sequence.
GCCCGCCUAGCUCAAUCGGAUAGAGCGUCAGACUCUUAGGCUUGGCUUGGGCAAUCUGAAGGCUGCGAGUUCGACCCUCGCGGUGGGCU